GAUGAACGCUAGCGGCAGGCUUAACACAUGCAAGUCGAGGGGUAACAUUGAUAGCUUGCUAUCAGAUGACGACCGGCGCACGGGUGCGUAACGCGUAUGCAACCUACCUUCUACUGGGGUAUAGCCCGAAGAAAUUUGGAUUAACCCCCCAUGGUCUGUUUUUGUGGCCUCACAUUAACAGUAAAGGUUACGGUAGAAGAUGGGCAUGCGUCCCAUUAGUUUGUUGGUGUGGUAACGGCACACCAAGGCUACGAUGGGUAGGGGCCCUGAGAGGGGGAUCCCCCACACUGGUACUGAGACACGGACCAGACUCCUACGGGAGGCAGCAGUGAGGAAUAUUGGACAAUGGGCGAGAGCCUGAUCCAGCCAUGCCGCGUGCAGGAAGACUGCCCUAUGGGUUGUAAACUGCUUUUUUACGGGAAGAAACCCUCCCUCGUGAGGGGGGCUGACGGUACCGUACGAAUAAGCAUCGGCUAACUCCGUGCCAGCAGCCGCGGUAAUACGGAGGAUGCAAGCGUUAUCCGGAAUCAUUGGGUUUAAAGGGUCCGUAGGCGGGCGAUUAAGUCAGGGGUGAAAGUCUGCAGCUCAACUGUAGAACUGCCUUUGAUACUGGUCGUCUUGAAUUAUUGUGAAGUGGCUAGAAUAUGUAGUGUAGCGGUGAAAUGCAUAGAUAUUACAUAGAAUACCAAUUGCGAAGGCAGGUCACUAACAAUAUAUUGACGCUGAGGGACGAAAGCGUGGGGAGCGAACAGGAUUAGAUACCCUGGUAGUCCACGCCGUAAACGAUGGAUACUAGCUGCUCGACCUUUGGGUUGAGUGGCUAAGCGAAAGUGAUAAGUAUCCCACCUGGGGAGUACGUUCGCAAGAAUGAAACUCAAAGGAAUUGACGGGGGCCCGCACAAGCGGUGGAGCAUGUGGUUUAAUUCGAUGAUACGCGAGGAACCUUACCAGGGCUUAAAUGCAGUUGGACAGGGGUGGAAACACCCCCUUCUUCGGACUAAUUGCAAGGUGCUGCAUGGUUGUCGUCAGCUCGUGCCGUGAGGUGUCAGGUUAAGUCCUAUAACGAGCGCAACCCCUGUGGUUAGUUGCCAGCGAGUAAUGUCGGGAACUCUAGCCGGACUGCCGGUGCAAACCGUGAGGAAGGUGGGGAUGACGUCAAAUCAUCACGGCCCUUACGUCCUGGGCUACACACGUGCUACAAUGGUAGGUACAGAGAGCAGCCACGUCGCAAGGCGGAGCGAAUCUAUAAAACCUAUCUCAGUUCGGAUCGGGGUCUGCAUCUCGACCCCGUGAAGCUGGAAUCGCUAGUAAUCGCAUAUCAGCCAUGAUGCGGUGAAUACGUUCCCGGGCCUUGUACACACCGCCCGUCAAGCCAUGGAAGCUGGGGGUACCUGAAGUCGGUGACCGCAAGGAGCUGCCUAGGGUAAAACUGGUAACUGGGGCU
rnacentral:rRNA from 1 species